UGUUAAAAGUUUUAUUCAUUUAUACUGUUAAAAUUUUGUGUGAUUGAUGGAGUAAGUAGACAAUCAUAUGCAGUGUGUCACGUGUACCUCAUGUCACGUACAAUAACCAAUUUUUUAACAUUGGAAAUGGAUGAAACUUUUAACA
rfam:Gossypium raimondii Chr09_contig_12, whole genome shotgun sequence.